CCCCUAGACGUUCUGGGCUGCACGCGCGCUACAAUAAUACGCACAGCGAGUAUCUCCGAGCUCGAAAGGGCAAGGUAAACAAUAGAAAAGGUACUGUAAUGGUUAUAGAUCCUUGUAAUUAUUGAUCUUCAACGAGGAAUUCCUAGUAAGUAUGUGUCAUCAUCACGCACUGAUUACGUCCCUGCCCUUUGUACACACCGCCCGUCGCUCCUACCGAUUGGGUGAGCCGAUGAAACUCUCGGAUGUAGGCUAUUCAUAGCCCGCAGAAGAGAUUUGAAUCGUAGCGCUUAGAGGAAGGAGAAGUCGUAACA
rnacentral:rRNA from 1 species